rnacentral:rRNA from 1 species
GAUGACGCUGGGCGGCGUGCCUAAUACAUGCAAGUCGAGCGAACGGACGAGAAGCUUGCUUCUCUGAUGUUAGCGGCGGACGGGUGAGUAACACGUGGAUAACCUACCUAUAAGACUGGGAUAACUUCGGGAAACCGGAGCUAAUACCGGAUAAUAUUUUGAACCGCAUGGUUCAAAAGUGAAAGACGGUCUUGCUGUCACUUAUAGAUGGAUCCGCGCUGCAUUAGCUAGUUGGUAAGGUAACGGCUUACCAAGGCAACGAUGCAUAGCCGACCUGAGAGGGUGAUCGGCCACACUGGAACUGAGACACGGUCCAGACUCCUACGGGAGGCAGCAGUAGGGAAUCUUCCGCAAUGGGCGAAAGCCUGACGGAGCAACGCCGCGUGAGUGAUGAAGGUCUUCGGAUCGUAAAACUCUGUUAUUAGGGAAGAACAUAUGUGUAAGUAACUGUGCACAUCUUGACGGUACCUAAUCAGAAAGCCACGGCUAACUACGUGCCAGCAGCCGCGGUAAUACGUAGGUGGCAAGCGUUAUCCGGAAUUAUUGGGCGUAAAGCGCGCGUAGGCGGUUUUUUAAGUCUGAUGUGAAAGCCCACGGCUCAACCGUGGAGGGUCAUUGGAAACUGGAAAACUUGAGUGCAGAAGAGGAAAGUGGAAUUCCAUGUGUAGCGGUGAAAUGCGCAGAGAUAUGGAGGAACACCAGUGGCGAAGGCGACUUUCUGGUCUGUAACUGACGCUGAUGUGCGAAAGCGUGGGGAUCAAACAGGAUUAGAUACCCUGGUAGUCCACGCCGUAAACGAUGGGUGCUAAGUGUUAGGGGGUUUCCGCCCCUUAGUGCUGCAGCUAACGCAUUAAGCACUCCGCCUGGGGAGUA